UGAAGAAGAGGCCAGGGCCCAACGAAGGGCUGUAGAGCCGUGAAUGUAUGAAUAUUUGCUAGCUACUGUAAACAGAUGAGUGCAUUCAAAGCAGUGACAUCACGAUGAUCUCCACCAAACCCCAGAUACACGGAUUGCAUCAUGAGGGAAGCAACUGAGCUCGAGCUCCUGCCCAAUAACAUGGACAGGGAUGAUAGCUUCUUCCCUGACCAGGCAGCACAUUAUCACAACCUCAAUCUUUAAGUUGGGGCUCCAUCUGUGGCUCAGUGCUUGGCUGUGCACAGGAGCUACAGAAACCAAAGUGUGCUGUCUCCGAGAGACUCACAUGAGUGGGCGAUGGGUGCUGAUGACGAAGUCUGGCUUCGAG